UGUGUUGAACUAGCAAAGCUUCUCGUUGAAUGUGAUGAACGAUUAUCGAUCACCGUCCUGAUUAUGAAGCUGCCCUUUGAUCCAAAAGUCAGUAGCUACACAAAUUCGUUGGUAGAAACUCCGAAUUUGCACAUAAGGUACCUUGAGCUCAUGAAAGAAGAGCCUUCUUCUCAAUUGUCAUCUUUUCUUUCGAUUCUGUUUCGAUUUAUCGACAACCAUAAAAGUUGUGUGAGGGAGGUUCUUGCUGAAAUAUCCAAUUCUGUUUCGUCGCAUCUUGGUGGGAUCGUCAUAGACAUGUUUUGCACCUCUUUGAUUGAUGUAGCCAAUGAAUUUGGGGUUCCUUCCUAUAUAUUUUGCCCAGGCGGUGCUGCAACGCUUGGCGUUUUAUUCCAGUUGCAAAGUCUGAGAGAUGAUCUCAAUGAAGAUGUGAGCCAUUACGAGAAUUCAGACGUUGAAUUAGCUUUGCCUACUUACAUCAAUCCUGUUCCAGCUAAACUUUUGUCAUCUGCAUUGUUUGAGAAGGAUGGAAGUGUCGACAUGUUCCUCGAUCAGGCAAAGAGAUACAGGAAGACCAAGGGAAUCAUAAUUAACACUUUCCUUGAGUUUGAAUCCCAUGCGAUUCACGCCUUGAGCAAUGAUAAAACCAUCCCACCAGUAUAUGCAGUAGGGCCACUAUUGAAUCUGAAGGGAAGCAAUAGUCAAAAUCAAGAAACUGAGAUGAUUAAGAAAUGGCUAGAUCUUCAGCCAGAAUGUUCUGUUGUGUUCCUUUGCUUUGGUAGUGCAGGUAGUUUUGAUGGUGACCAAGUGGAGGAAAUUGCCUAUGCGCUCGAGCGCAGUGGAUAUCGAUUCCUCUGGUCAUUGAGAAGGCCUUCACCUAAAGAAAAAUUUGAGUUUCCAAGUGAGUAUGAGAACCUGGAUGAAGUCUUGCCAGAAGGGUUCUUGCAGCGAACUGCAGCUGUUGGAAAAGUUAUUGGAUGGGCACCACAGGCGGCAGUUCUAUCCCAUCCUGCUGUGGGGGGCUUUGUUUCUCACUGUGGUUGGAACUCAAUAUUGGAAAGCGUUUGGUGCGGUGUGCCAGUGGCAACUUGGCCGCUUUAUGCAGAGCAGCAGCAGAAUGCAUUCCUAAUGGUGAAAGACUUGGCAAUGGCAGUGGAGAUCAAAAUAGAUUUCAAAAGGGAUUUCGUACUGGGUGUGAGCAGUGAGAUUUUGAGUGCAGAUGUGAUUGAAAGAGGGAUUAAACAUCUGAUGGAUCCUGAGAAUGAAAUCAGAGAGAAGGUGAAGGAAAUGAAAGAGAAGAGCAGGUUGGCUCCUAGUGAAGGAGGAUCAUCCUUUUCUUCCUUGAGGCGUUUUCUUGAAGAUGUAUUAGAUAACAUUCCAUGAUUGAAUAGUAUGUCAGAAUUGAAUAGUGAUCAUGGAUUACAGGAUCCCUUGUUUUUCAUAAAUUCAUAGCUAAAGAUCAACUACUACUACAUUCAUGAACUCUGCUAUUAUCAAUUCUGUUUUGGGAGUCAGUGAGAACUAAUCAAUUAAUGGAGUCUCGUUCCUUUAUCCACCUGUUUUUCCUUUUCUGCUUCCUUUUUGGCUAUUCUGAUCAUCUAUAAUUGCACAUGGUUCUUCGUUUCUUGUGAUGUGCUCUGUGUUCCUUGCUGGCUCUUACCUGAUACGAUUUUCUUUUUUCUUGUACCCUUUUUAUCCCCCUUUUCCUGAAAUUUUAGUAUUAAUUACAUUUACCCCCCUAUGGUUUCAUCAAAUAACAAAUCAGCCCCUCAUUUUUAACAAAACUAUGAAAAGGUCCCUCAAACUCAAAGCUCCAGAGCAAAAACAUCCGUGUCAGUCAACUAACGAUAACGAAGUGAUGUCACGACAAAUAUAUGACAAAACUCCGAGAAUUCCCAUAAAAAAUCUGUUACCAGUUAUCUUUCUUCUUCGUUCCCCUUAUGCAAUCAAUUACUAAAACCAUAAUUUGUACGUUACAACUUAUCUUUCUUCAUCCUUCCCCGUAUACAGUAUACAAUAUACAGUCAGAUACUAAAACCGUGAUUUGUCCUAACAAGACGCCAGAGUUGAAGCAUCCCGCUCCAAUUGCCAAUGUCAGUUUUAAAUUUUUUUUUUGUCAAGGUUUGAGCUUUAAAGUUUGAAAAUUUUAAUAAACUUGAUAUGAAAAAAAACACACAAAAUGUGGGUAAAAACGUGCUUAAAUCGAAACUAAAUUCUUCCAAAGUCUUCAGAAAACUCCUAGAAAUAUUAGAAACACACACUGAUGCAACAGCUCAUAUUCAAUCAUAAAUGGACUCAACAAAAAUCACCCAUUAACAAAUAUGGGUAGAUCAGAUUCUGGAUAGAAAAUCAUAUUCCAAUUAAUAGAAGGGUAAUUUCCUGGGCAAUUAAAUUCCAAAACAAAUUGUUACAAGGCCUGUUUAUCAUUGUCGGUGUGUGUUUGAAACAGAGAAAAAGGGAUAGCGAUGAAAUAUGAAAAAUGCAAUGGAGGCAGUGGCGAUUGACAACAGAGUUGGCGGCGGCAAUGGUAUGGAGACAUAACUUGUUCUUGGAUAAUUACUAGAUUGAUUCAUAUAUGAGCUUGUUCUCCAAAUUUUUGUGGUUGUUUAAAUAAAUUUUGGUUGAAUCUUUGGUUUUGACCUGGGGGGAAGGGAAAUAAGGAGAGACCCAAUCUAUGGUUUUGAUCACUAGUAUUCUUUUUUUUUUUGGCACGUUAUAUAUUUUAUUCUAUAUUUGCUCUCACUCUAUGUUAAGGAAAGGGGGAUCCAAAGAAAUCAAAGGGAGGGGAAGGAGGAAGAGGGGAGGAGACUGCUAGGGAGAGGGGAACGGGGGACCCAAAGAGGUUAAAGGGUGAAUUCAGAGGAGACUGAACCACCAUCCAACUGAUGAAAUUUGUUGGGGAGGGGGAGUGGGGGAAUUGGGGGAUCCAAAGGGGUCAAAAGAAGGGGGAGAGAGAAGUGGGGACCCAAAGGGGGGAUUUGAUCCUACAUCCAAGGAGAGUUUUAAAACUCUCCCCGGUGACCAACUACUCUAAAAGUAGUGGUUUGACCACUAGUACUUAGUUUCUUUAUUCUUAUUUUUGUUUUCUUUUUUUUUCUCAAUCUUUCCUUCUCUAAUUUUUUUAAUCUUUGUUUUAUCUUGUACUAUUGUCACCUUCACUUGCUUUUUCUAUUUUUGGUAAAAUAAAUCUUAGAAGUAGCGAUAUGUAGCCUUAUACAAAGAAUGAGAGAGGAUUUUUAGAAGAUAAGAGAUGGUAUAUAAUGGUUGGUAUUGAAUUCAAGUUGUAUUCUUAUAUAGGGUUUUCUUUCAUGAUAAAAAAUAGAUUUCUAUUUGUGAAUAUGACGCCUGAAAGGAAAAGAAACGAAAAAUUUUGGUGGAAAAGGUGAGGACCAAAUCUAGCCAGUUCUUGGCCGGAUUGCCAGCCGGAUUGUUGGUGCAUUUUGAAAAAAAUAAAUGGGAUUUCGUUCUGCUUUGAAUCCGGCCUGGAACCCGGCCAGAUUCCGGCCGGAUUGUGACGUGGCACAGGCAGCAGCCAGGUUUGAUUGGCUAUUUUCUUCAUUUUUAUCUUAUUUUUUGGCUACAAUAUCUUCCAUUUCUUGCUCCUUCUUGGCCGUGCAUCAUAGAGAGAAAAGAGAGAAAGUUCUUCAUUUUCCUAGCUUCAAUCUUUGCUCACAUCUUGAGAUUUCACCGAUGGUUUUGGAAACCACUCCAUACAAGUGUGUGUUUAGGAGGUUUAAAGCUUUUUGGUGGAGUGAUCUUUGAAAGGGAAGCUAUAAGUUGCUAGCUUUCUUGAGUUUUGAGGUAAGUUGGAUAAGAAAGUUCUCUCUUGCUUUAAUAAUGGUUGAUUGGUGGUUUGUAGAGGUUUGAUAUGCUAUUUUGUGGAUGAUUUCAUGAUUUUAAAUAAAGUUGGACCAAUUUCUGAUUUAUUAGGAAUUUUUCUGCUUUUAUAUGAUAAUCAUGGGUUGGCCUUGGAAUAAUGGAUUGAUAUGGGAUAAAAUGAAGUUUGCGUAUAUUAGUUGUGAUGGGUUGCAGAAAAUUUCCGUUGGAAGGGUAAAUUUCAGUUCUAGGGUUUCGAAUUGGGGCUUUAUUGUGAUUAAUUAUGGAGCUAUCUAAUGGUUGUAUGUGAAGGGUGUUGUGACCCUAAUUAAGAGUAUUUAAUAGUUUAUGAUUUGUAUGUGUAAUUGUGAUUGAGUUGAGAUGUGAUUUGUAAUGUCUUGUAGGAUGGAAAAUAAGGAAUUUAAGGGGAAGUGCUGUCCAAUCUUUGAGAACGUUUAAUCGUUGUGAGUUUGGGUUAAUUCUUGGUAGAAUGAAGAGCUUGGAUUUGAUCGAGAAAACUGUCUAUGAUGGAUGACGAUUAUGAGCUGUGGUUGGUGAGUGACCCCAAACUAUUUCCAAAACUACUUAUGAACUGUUUCUUGCAUUAUUUACUCGAUUGCAUAUCAUGUGUGCUUGCAUAUGAGUUCAUGACAUGAUUUGGCUUCAAUGAAUUCUUGAGAAGUCUUGUGCUUAGAACCAACAUCUCCACCACUGUUUACUGUUUAUUUGGAGCACAAAUGGCUUCCUAUUUCUGUUUCACUGUUACUAGACCUAUUUGAGCGUUGGAUGUUUAAGUACAAUGAUUUCACUGGCUCACAAGAGCAAUAAACGUAUAUUUGAUUACUGAUUCAUGACAUCAUUGAAAUGAACUAUUCUGAAACUUAUUUGACUACUAAUUUUACUAGUUAUUCGCUGAGCUUCUAACUCACCCCAAAAAUAUUUUAUUUCCCCUCCACAAGGUUCGAGGCAAAGGAAGCUUGUAUUAAGUUUUCCGUGUGAAUGGUUGGAGUAUCUCCUAUACAAGUUGGCGGUUUAGUUUUAUCUUGUGUACUAUUUGAGACUGCGAUUGUACUUGUAAUUAUGUGAGAACUAAGGACCUUUGUCUUAUUCGGGAAAUUAGUAUUGCUUUUAUCUCUUGAGGUUUUAGUUUGUGGUGCAAUUGAGAAGUAUUCGCUUCACUUAUGAUAUGUAAAUUUGUGGAACAUUUGAUGUAUAUUUGAGCUUUAUAUUGUAAUUUAUUUGAGAACUGUAAUGAGUGAGUGAGUGAGUCCCGGCGAGAACUGGGCAGGCGGUCCGCCGAACCCUUUGGUUCGCCUUAGGGGGAGGUGGGGCUGUCACAGUUGGUAUCAGAGCUUAGAUUUUAGAUCUCUGUAGUGUAUCAUAGGUUUAAAGUUUAGGAUACCGGACUGUGGGUCUGGUUUGAAAUAUAAGUGAUUUCUUGUAGGAAUGCAAAUCAGACAAGUGGGAUUAGGCUUGCUUGGAAAUGCUUGUUUGACUUUUGUGGGAUAUCUUGACUUGAUUAGUACAAGUUGGAAUGUCGAGGACAACAUUCUUUUAAGGAGGGGAGUUUGUGACGCCCGAAAGGAAAAGAAAUGAAAAAUUUUGGUGGAAAAGGUGAGGACCAAAUCCGGCCAGUUCUUGACCAGAUUGCCGGCCGGAUUGUUGGUGCAUUUUGAAAAAAAAAAUGGGAUUUCGUUCUGUCUUGAAUCCGGCCGGAUUGUGACGUGGCAUAGGCAGCAGCCAGGUUUGAUUGGCUGUUUUCUUCAUUUUUAUCUUAUUUUUUGGCUACAAUAUCUUCCAUUUCUUGCUCCUUCUUGGCCGUGCAUCAUAGAGAGAAAAGAGAGAAAGUUCUUCAUUUUCCUAGCUUCAAUCUUUGCUCACAUCUUGAGAUUUCACCGAUGGUUUUGGAAACCACUCCAUACAAGUGUGUGUUUAGGAGGUUUAAAGCUUUUUGGUGGAGUGAUCUUUGAAAGGGAAGCUAUAAGUUGCUAGCUUUCUUGAGUUUUGAGGUAAGUUGGAUAAGAAAGUUCUCUCUUGCUUUAAUAAUGGUUGAUUGGUGGUUUGUAGAGGUUUGAUAUGCUAUUUUGUGGAUGAUUUCAUGAUUUUAAAUAAAGUUGGACCAAUUUCUGAUUUAUUAGGAAUUUUUCUGCUUUUAUAUGAUAAUCAUGGGUUGGCCUUGGAAUAAUGGAUUGAUAUGGGAUAAAAUGAAGUUUGCGUAUAUUAGUUGUGAUGGGUUGCAGAAAAUUUCCGUUGGAAGGGUAAAUUUCAGUUCUAGGGUUUCGAAUUGGGGCUUUAUUGUGAUUAAUUAUGGAGCUAUCUAAUGGUUGUAUGUGAAGGGUGUUGUGACCCUAAUUAAGAGUAUUUAAUAGUUUAUGAUUUGUAUGUGUAAUUGUGAUUGAGUUGAGAUGUGAUUUGUAAUGUCUUGUAGGAUGGAAAAUAAGGAAUUUAAGGGGAAGUGCUGUCCAAUCUUUGAGAACGUUUAAUCGUUGUGAGUUUGGGUUAAUUCUUGGUAGAAUGAAGAGCUUGGAUUUGAUCGAGAAAACUGUCUAUGAUGGAUGACGAUUAUGAGCUGUGGUUGGUGAGUGACCCCAAACUAUUUCCAAAACUACUUAUGAACUGUUUCUUGCAUUAUUUACUCGAUUGCAUAUCAUGUGUGCUUGCAUAUGAGUUCAUGACAUGAUUUGGCUUCAAUGAAUUCUUGAGAAGUCUUGUGCUUAGAACCAACAUCUCCACCACUGUUUACUGUUUAUUUGGAGCACAAAUGGCUUCCUAUUUCUGUUUCACUGUUACUAGACCUAUUUGAGCGUUGGAUGUUUAAGUACAAUGAUUUCACUGGCUCACAAGAGCAAUAAACGUAUAUUUGAUUACUGAUUCAUGACAUCAUUGAAAUGAACUAUUCUGAAACUUAUUUGACUACUAAUUUUACUAGUUAUUCGCUGAGCUUCUAACUCACCCCAAAAAUAUUUUAUUUCCCCUCCACAAGGUUCGAGGCAAAGGAAGCUUGUAUUAAGUUUUCCGUGUGAAUGGUUGGAGUAUCUCCUAUACAAGUUGGCGGUUUAGUUUUAUCUUGUGUACUAUUUGAGACUGCGAUUGUACUUGUAAUUAUGUGAGAACUAAGGACCUUUGUCUUAUUCGGGAAAUUAGUAUUGCUUUUAUCUCUUGAGGUUUUAGUUUGUGGUGCAAUUGAGAAGUAUUCGCUUCACUUAUGAUAUGUAAAUUUGUGGAACAUUUGAUGUAUAUUUGAGCUUUAUAUUGUAAUUUAUUUGAGAACUGUAAUGAGUGAGUGAGUGAGUCCCGGCGAGAACUGGGCAGGCGGUCCGCCGAACCCUUUGGUUCGCCUUAGGGGGAGGUGGGGCUGUCACAGUUGGUAUCAGAGCUUAGAUUUUAGAUCUCUGUAGUGUAUCAUAGGUUUAAAGUUUAGGAUACCGGACUGUGGGUCUGGUUUGAAAUAUAAGUGAUUUCUUGUAGGAAUGCAAAUCAGACAAGUGGGAUUAGGCUUGCUUGGAAAUGCUUGUUUGACUUUUGUGGGAUAUCUUGACUUGAUUAGUACAAGUUGGAAUGUCGAGGACAACAUUCUUUUAAGGAGGGGAGUUUGUGACGCCCGAAAGGAAAAGAAAUGAAAAAUUUUGGUGGAAAAGGUGAGGACCAAAUCCGGCCAGUUCUUGACCAGAUUGCCGGCCGGAUUGUUGGUGCAUUUUGAAAAAAAAAAUGGGAUUUCGUUCUGUCUUGAAUCCGGCCGGAUUGUGACGUGGCAUAGGCAGCAGCCAGGUUUGAUUGGCUGUUUUCUUCAUUUUUAUCUUAUUUUUUGGCUACAAUAUCUUCCAUUUCUUGCUCCUUCUUGGCCGUGCAUCAUAGAGAGAAAAGAGAGAAAGUUCUUCAUUUUCCUAGCUUCAAUCUUUGCUCACAUCUUGAGAUUUCACCGAUGGUUUUGGAAACCACUCCAUACAAGUGUGUGUUUAGGAGGUUUAAAGCUUUUUGGUGGAGUGAUCUUUGAAAGGGAAGCUAUAAGUUGCUAGCUUUCUUGAGUUUUGAGGUAAGUUGGAUAAGAAAGUUCUCUCUUGCUUUAAUAAUGGUUGAUUGGUGGUUUGUAGAGGUUUGAUAUGCUAUUUUGUGGAUGAUUUCAUGAUUUUAAAUAAAGUUGGACCAAUUUCUGAUUUAUUAGGAAUUUUUCUGCUUUUAUAUGAUAAUCAUGGGUUGGCCUUGGAAUAAUGGAUUGAUAUGGGAUAAAAUGAAGUUUGCGUAUAUUAGUUGUGAUGGGUUGCAGAAAAUUUCCGUUGGAAGGGUAAAUUUCAGUUCUAGGGUUUCGAAUUGGGGCUUUAUUGUGAUUAAUUAUGGAGCUAUCUAAUGGUUGUAUGUGAAGGGUGUUGUGACCCUAAUUAAGAGUAUUUAAUAGUUUAUGAUUUGUAUGUGUAAUUGUGAUUGAGUUGAGAUGUGAUUUGUAAUGUCUUGUAGGAUGGAAAAUAAGGAAUUUAAGGGGAAGUGCUGUCCAAUCUUUGAGAACGUUUAAUCGUUGUGAGUUUGGGUUAAUUCUUGGUAGAAUGAAGAGCUUGGAUUUGAUCGAGAAAACUGUCUAUGAUGGAUGACGAUUAUGAGCUGUGGUUGGUGAGUGACCCCAAACUAUUUCCAAAACUACUUAUGAACUGUUUCUUGCAUUAUUUACUCGAUUGCAUAUCAUGUGUGCUUGCAUAUGAGUUCAUGACAUGAUUUGGCUUCAAUGAAUUCUUGAGAAGUCUUGUGCUUAGAACCAACAUCUCCACCACUGUUUACUGUUUAUUUGGAGCACAAAUGGCUUCCUAUUUCUGUUUCACUGUUACUAGACCUAUUUGAGCGUUGGAUGUUUAAGUACAAUGAUUUCACUGGCUCACCAGAGCAAUAAACGUAUAUUUGAUUACUGAUUCAUGACAUCAUUGAAAUGAACUAUUCUGAAACUUAUUUGACUACUAAUUUUACUAGUUAUUCGCUGAGCUUCUAACUCACCCCAAAAAUAUUUUAUUUCCCCUCCACAAGGUUCGAGGCAAAGGAAGCUUGUAUUAAGUUUUCCGUGUGAAUGGUUGGAGUAUCUCCUAUACAAGUUGGCGGUUUCGUUUUAUCUUGUGUACUAUUUGAGACUGCGAUUGUACUUGUAAUUAUGUGAGAACUAAGGACCUUUGUCUUAUUCGGGAAAUUAGUAUUGCUUUUAUCUCUUGAGGUUUUAGUUUGUGGUGCAAUUGAGAAGUAUUCGCUUCACUUAUGAUAUGUAAAUUUGUGGAACAUUUGAUGUAUAUUUGAGCUUUAUAUUGUAAUUUAUUUGAGAACAGUAAUGAGUGAGUGAGUGAGUCCCGGCGAGAACUGGGCAGGCGGUCCGCCGAACCCUUUGGUUCGCCUUAGGGGGAGGUGGGGCUGUCACAGUUGGUAUCAGAGCUUAGAUUUUAGAUCUCUGUAGUGUAUCAUAGGUUUAAAGUUUAGGAUACCGGACUGUGGGUCUGGUUUGAAAUAUAAGUGAUUUCUUGUAGGAAUGCAAAUCAGACAAGUGGGAUUAGGCUUGCUUGGAAAUGCUUGUUUGACUUUUGUGGGAUAUCUUGACUUGAUUAGUACAAGUUGGAAUGUCGAGGACAACAUUCUUUAAGGAGGCGCCUCGAGUUUUGUUGACGCCCGAAAGGCUGAAAAGAAAUUUUGAUAAAAAUUUUGCGUGGGAAACCAAGGUGAGCGUACAAAUCCGCGCCAGUUCUUGACCAGUUAUUGUCGGCCGGAUGUUGGUGUUCAUUUUGAAUAAAAAAAUGGGAUUUCAAAGAAACGAAAAAUUUUGGUGGAAAAGGUGAGGACCAAAUCUAGCCAGUUCUUGGCCGGAUUGCCAGCCGGAUUGUUGGUGCAUUUUGAAAAAAAUAAAUGGGAUUUCGUUCUGCUUUGAAUCCGGCCUGGAACCCGGCCAGAUUCCGGCCGGAUUGUGACGUGGCACAGGCAGCAGCCAGGUUUGAUUGGCUAUUUUCUUCAUUUUUAUCUUAUUUUUUGGCUACAAUAUCUUCCAUUUCUUGCUCCUUCUUGGCCGUGCAUCAUAGAGAGAAAAGAGAGAAAGUUCUUCAUUUUCCUAGCUUCAAUCUUUGCUCACAUCUUGAGAUUUCACCGAUGGUUUUGGAAACCACUCCAUACAAGUGUGUGUUUAGGAGGUUUAAAGCUUUUUGGUGGAGUGAUCUUUGAAAGGGAAGCUAUAAGUUGCUAGCUUUCUUGAGUUUUGAGGUAAGUUGGAUAAGAAAGUUCUCUCUUGCUUUAAUAAUGGUUGAUUGGUGGUUUGUAGAGGUUUGAUAUGCUAUUUUGUGGAUGAUUUCAUGAUUUUAAAUAAAGUUGGACCAAUUUCUGAUUUAUUAGGAAUUUUUCUGCUUUUAUAUGAUAAUCAUGGGUUGGCCUUGGAAUAAUGGAUUGAUAUGGGAUAAAAUGAAGUUUGCGUAUAUUAGUUGUGAUGGGUUGCAGAAAAUUUCCGUUGGAAGGGUAAAUUUCAGUUCUAGGGUUUCGAAUUGGGGCUUUAUUGUGAUUAAUUAUGGAGCUAUCUAAUGGUUGUAUGUGAAGGGUGUUGUGACCCUAAUUAAGAGUAUUUAAUAGUUUAUGAUUUGUAUGUGUAAUUGUGAUUGAGUUGAGAUGUGAUUUGUAAUGUCUUGUAGGAUGGAAAAUAAGGAAUUUAAGGGGAAGUGCUGUCCAAUCUUUGAGAACGUUUAAUCGUUGUGAGUUUGGGUUAAUUCUUGGUAGAAUGAAGAGCUUGGAUUUGAUCGAGAAAACUGUCUAUGAUGGAUGACGAUUAUGAGCUGUGGUUGGUGAGUGACCCCAAACUAUUUCCAAAACUACUUAUGAACUGUUUCUUGCAUUAUUUACUCGAUUGCAUAUCAUGUGUGCUUGCAUAUGAGUUCAUGACAUGAUUUGGCUUCAAUGAAUUCUUGAGAAGUCUUGUGCUUAGAACCAACAUCUCCACCACUGUUUACUGUUUAUUUGGAGCACAAAUGGCUUCCUAUUUCUGUUUCACUGUUACUAGACCUAUUUGAGCGUUGGAUGUUUAAGUACAAUGAUUUCACUGGCUCACAAGAGCAAUAAACGUAUAUUUGAUUACUGAUUCAUGACAUCAUUGAAAUGAACUAUUCUGAAACUUAUUUGACUACUAAUUUUACUAGUUAUUCGCUGAGCUUCUAACUCACCCCAAAAAUAUUUUAUUUCCCCUCCACAAGGUUCGAGGCAAAGGAAGCUUGUAUUAAGUUUUCCGUGUGAAUGGUUGGAGUAUCUCCUAUACAAGUUGGCGGUUUAGUUUUAUGUUGUGUACUAUUUGAGACUGCGAUUGUACUUGUAAUUAUGUGAGAACUAAGGACCUUUGUCUUAUUCGGGAAAUUAGUAUUGCUUUUAUCUCUUGAGGUUUUAGUUUGUGGUGCAAUUGAGAAGUAUUCGCUUCACUUAUGAUAUGUAAAUUUGUGGAACAUUUGAUGUAUAUUUGAGCUUUAUAUUGUAAUUUAUUUGAGAACUGUAAUGAGUGAGUGAGUGAGUCCCGGCGAGAACUGGGCAGGCGAUCCGCCGAACCCUUUGGUUCGCCUUAGGGGGAGGUGGGGCUGUCACAGUUGGUAUCAGAGCUUAGAUUUUAGAUCUCUGUAGUGUAUCAUAGGUUUAAAGUUUAGGAUACCGGACUGUGGGUCUGGUUUGAAAUAUAAGUGAUUUCUUGUAGGAAUGCAAAUCAGACAAGUGGGAUUAGGCUUGCUUGGAAAUGCUUGUUCGACUUUUGUGGGAUAUCUUGACUUGAUUAGUACAAGUUGGAAUGUCGAGGACAACAUUCUUUUAAGGAGGGGAGUUUGUGACGCCCGAAAGGAAAAGAAAUGAAAAAUUUUGGUGGAAAAGGUGAGGACCAAAUCCGGCCAGUUCUUGGCCAGAUUGCCGGCCGGAUUGUUGGUGCAUUUUGAAAAAAAAAAUGGGAUUUCGUUCUGUCUUGAAUCCGGCCGGAUUUUGACGUGGCAUAGGCCGCAGCCAGGUUUGACUGGUUGUUUUCUUCAUUCUUAUCUUAUUUUUUGGCUACAAUAUCUUCCAUUUCUUACUCCUUCUUGGCCGUGCAUCAUAGAGAGAAAAGAGAGAAAGUUCUUCAUUUUCCUAGCUUCAAUCUUUGCUCACAUCUUGAGAUUUCACCGAUAGUUUUGGAAACUACUCUAUACAAGUGUGUGUUUAGGAGGUUUAAACCUUUUGGUGGAGUGAUCUUUGAAAGGGAAGCUAUAAGUUGCUAGCUUUCUUGAGUUUUGAGGUAAGUUGGAUAAGAAAGUUCUCUCUUGCUUUAAUAAUGGUUGAUUGGUGGUUUGUAGAGGUUAGAUAUGCUAUUUUGUGGAUGAUUUCAUGAUUUUAAGUAAAGUUGGACCAAUUUCUGAUUUAUUAGGGAUUUUUCUGCUUUUAUAUGAUAAUCAUGGGUUGGCCUUGGAAUGAUGGAUUGAUAUGGGAUAAAAUGAAAUUUGUGUAUAUUAGUUGUGAUGGGUUGCGAAAAAUUUCCGUUUGAAGGGUAAAUUUCAGUUCUAGGGUUUCGAAUUGGGGCUUUAUUGUGAUUAAUUAUGGAGCUAUCUAAUGGUUGUAUGUGAAGGGUGUUGUGACCCUAAUUAAGAGUAUUUAAUAGUUUAUGAUUUGUAUGUGCAAUUAUGAUUGAGUUGAGAUGUGAUUUGUAAUGUCUUGUAGGAUCGAAAAUAAGGAAUUUAAAGGGAAGUGCUGUCCAAUCUUUGAGAACGUUUAAUCACUGUGAGUUUGGGUUAAUUCUUGGUAGAAUGAAGAGUUUGGACUUGAUCGAGAAAACUGUCUAUGAUGGAUGAGGAUUAUGAGUUGUAGUUGGUGAGUGACCCCAAACUAUUUCCAAAACUACUUAUGAACUGUUUCUUGCAUUAUUUACUCGAUUGCAUAUCAUGUGUGCUUGCAUAUGAGUUCAUAACAUGAUUUGGCUUCAAUGAAUUCUUGAGAAGUCUUGUGCUUAGAACCAACAUCUCCACCACUGUUUACUGUUUAUUUGGAGCACAAAUGGCUUCCUAUUUCUGUUUCACUGUUACUAGACCUAUUUGAGCGUUGGAUGUUUAAGUACAAUGAUUUCACUGGCUCACCAGAGCAAUAAACGUAUAUUUGAUUACUGAUUCAUGACAUCAUUGAAAUGAACUAUUCUGAAACUUAUUUGACUACUAAUUUUACUAGUUAUUCGCUGAGCUUCUAACUCACCCCAAAAAUAUUUUAUUUCCCCUCCACAAGGUUCGAGGCAAAGGAAGCUUGUAUUAAGUUUUCCGUGUGAAUGGUUGGAGUAUCUCCUAUACAAGUUGGCGGUUUCGUUUUAUCUUGUGUACUAUUUGAGACUGCGAUUGUACUUGUAAUUAUGUGAGAACUAAGGACCUUUGUCUUAUUCGGGAAAUUAGUAUUGCUUUUAUCUCUUGAGGUUUUAGUUUGUGGUGCAAUUGAGAAGUAUUCGCUUCACUUAUGAUAUGUAAAUUUGUGGAACAUUUGAUGUAUAUUUGAGCUUUAUAUUGUAAUUUAUUUGAGAACUGUAAUGAGAGUGAGUGAGUCCCGGCGAGAACUGGGCAGGCGGUCCGACGAACCCUUUGGUUCGCCUUAGGGGGAGGUGGGGCUGUCACAGUUGGUAUCAGAGCUUAGAUUUUAGAUCUCUGUAGUGUAUCAUAGGUUUAAAGUUUAGGAUACCGGACUGUGGGUCUGGUUUGAAAUAUAAGUGAUAUCUUGUAGGAAUGCAAAUCAGACAAGUGGGAUUAGGCUUGCUUGGAAAUGCUUGUUUGACUUUUGUGGGAUAUCUUGACUUGAUUAGUACAAGUUGGAAUGUCGAGGACAACAUUCUUUUAAGGAGGGGAGUUUGUGACGCCCGAAAGGAAAAGAAAUGAAAAAUUUUGGUGGAAAAGGUGAGGACCAAAUCAGGCCGAAAAUCCGGCCAGUUCUUGGCCAGAUUGCCGGCCGGAUUGUUGGUGCAUUUUGAAAAAAAAAAUGGGAUUUCGUUCUGUCUUGAAUCCGGCCGGAUUGUGACGUGGCAUAGGCAGCAGCCAGGUUUGACUGGUUGUUUUCUUCAUUCUUAUCUUAUUUUUUGGCUACAAUAUCUUCCAUUUCUUACUCCUUCUUGGCCGUGCAUCAUAGAGAGAAAAGAGAGAAAGUUCUUCAUUUUCCUAGCUUCAAUCUUUGCUCACAACUUGAGAUUUCACCGAUAGUUUUGGAAACUACUCUAUACAAGUGUGUGUUUAGGAGGUUUAAACCUUUUGGUGGAGUGAUCUUUGAAAGGGAAGCUAUAAGUUGCUAGCUUUCUUGAGUUUUGAGGUAAGUUGGAUAAGAAAGUUCUCUCUUGCUUUAAUAAUGGUUGAUUGGUGGUUUGUAGAGGUUAGAUAUGCUAUUUUGUGGAUGAUUUCAUGAUUUUAAGUAAAGUUGGACCAAUUUCUGAUUUAUUAGGGAUUUUUCUGCUUUUAUAUGAUAAUCAUGGGUUGGCCCUGGAAUGAUGGAUUGAUAUGGGAUAAAAUGAAAUUUGUGUAUAUUAGUUGUGAUGGGUUGCGAAAAAUUUCCGUUUGAAGGGUAAAUUUCAGUUCCAGGGUUUCGAAUUGGGGCUUUAUUGUGAUUAAUUAUGGAGCUAUCUAAUGGUUGUAUGUGAAGGGUGUUGUGACCCUAAUUAAGAGUAUUUAAUAGUUUAUGAUUUGUAUGUGCAAUUAUGAUUGAGUUGAGAUGUGAUUUGUAAUGUCUUGUAGGAUUGAAAAUAAGGAAUUUAAAGGGAAGUGCUGUCCAAUCUUUGGGAACGUUUAAUCACUGUGAGUUUGGGUUAAUUCUUGGUAGAAUGAAGAGUUUGGACUUGAUCGAGAAAACUGUCUACGAUGGAUGAGGAUUAUGAGUUGUAGUUGGUGAGUGACCCCAAACUAUUUCCAAAACUACUUAUGAACUGUUUCUUGCAUUAUUUACUCGAUUGCAUAUCAUGUGUGCUUGCAUAUGAGUUCAUGACAUGAUUUGGCUUCAAUGAAUUCUUGAGAAGUCUUGUGCUUAGAACCAACAUCUCCACCACUGUUUACUGUUUAUUUGGAGCACAAAUGGCUUCCUAUUUCUGUUUCACUGUUACUAGACCUAUUUGAGCGUUGGAUGUUUAAGUACAAUGAUUUCACUGGCUCACCAGAGCAAUAAACGUAUAUUUGAUUACUGAUUCAUGACAUCAUUGAAAUGAACUAUUCUGAAACUUAUUUGACUACUAAUUUUACUAGUUAUUCGCUGAGCUUCUAACUCACCCCAAAAAUAUUUUAUUUCCCCUCCACAAGGUUCGAGGCAAAGGAAGCUUGUAUUAAGUUUUCCGUGUGAAUGGUUGGAGUAUCUCCUAUACAAGUUGGCGGUUUAGUUUUAUCUUGUGUACUAUUUGAGACUGCGAUUGUACUUGUAAUUAUGUGAGAACUAAGGACCUUUGUCUUAUUCGGGAAAUUAGUAUUGCUUUUAUCUCUUGAGGUUUUAGUUUGUGGUGCAAUUGAGAAGUAUUCGCUUCACUUAUGAUAUUUAAAUUUGUGGAACUUUUGAUGUAUAUUUAAACUUUAUAUUGUAAUUUAUUUGAGAACUGUAAUGAGUGAGUGAGUCCCGGUGAGAGUUGGACAGGCGGUCCGCCGAACCCUUUGAUUCGCCUUAGGGGGAGGUGGGGCUAUCACAAUGAACAUAAAUUCAAUUAUGGCAUCGAAUCAUGUUAGGAUUCAAGCGCGGAACACACAAUAAUUUAAUAAAAAAUAAGUCACAAGUAUGAAAGAUAAAUAACACACAAUAUUUAAGAUAGUGCGACUCCGCCAUUGAAGCUACAUCCACAGAGAGAAAUCCGCUCUUUAUUAUAAGAGAAAAAUCCUAUACAAGAAUACAACUUGAAUCUAAACCCAACUUUCGUAUACCAUCUCUCAUCUCCCAAGAACCCUAUCUCACCACCCAUGUAUAAGGCUAUAUGUCGCUUCUUUGUGUGCUCUUAUGUAUCUCUUACGUAGUAUGUCAACCUACCUAUUUACAGAUAACAUUAUUUGGCUAAAAAUCCAAAUAACAACAUAAAACUUCUAAUUUUAAACAAAAUAAGAAAUUCUUUGGCUACUACUUUAAGUAACUAAAAUCAAUUAGAAAACUAUUUGCUUUCACACAAAAUAAGAAACAUGUCUAAAAGAAAUUAAACCAAUUUCCUAUCAAAUCUCCACCUUCACGAAAAUUUCUUUUAGCAACCAUUUGCCUUCAAUUAUCAAAUAAUAUGUUACUGAAUUAUACACCUGGAUCAAUACAGUCCUGACACAAAUGAACAUCUGUAGUUACCCCAAAUCCAACUUCCAAUUGACUCAUGAGAAGGUGCCUUAAUUUACCAUAUCCCUUUAUAAGAUUUCUUCUGACCACCAUUUGCAAUCCGAGAUCCCCUUCUGUGAGUUCUAUCCCUAAUCAUUAAGGCAAUCAAGUAUAAAAUCACCAUAUUUCUUUCCAUUCUCAGGACUGUCUCGCCAUGUAUGAUUUUUAAAACUUCACCCAAAACAAAAAAAUUGUAACUGUCAAAAUCUUCUGGCGCCUGGAAAUUAAAUCUCUUUGUUUUUCUAGAACACAUGCCACACCACCUAAAGAAUAUAACCGAGAUCUAAAAGCCACUAGCAUGAAAUAUCAACCGUUGGAGGUGUGAGAAAGUCUCCACCGAUUCACAUCCAAAAUCAACAUUGGACUCCACUUUUUUCUUAACACUUGAAUCACCUGCCUAGAUUCACCGUCAAGUGUCUCCAUGCUUUUCAGUUUCCCAUUUUUCACCAUCAAUGCUUUUUGCCAAACUAUUGAAACAAGGAUAUCACUCAUUAAAUUAUUUAAUUAGUAACAACUAUCAAUCCAUUUGAUCUCAAUAGUUAACCAGGAUCCAACAUUGAACCACCAAACUCUUGAUCCAAUCAUUCAGUUUGUUGGGAUCCAAGUGCUUGUGAGUAACCCAAUCUCACAAUCAAACUCUGAUACCACUUGUUAGGAUCCAAGUGCGAAACACACAACUAUUGAGAUAUCAAAUACAUAACAAUUUAAUGAUAAAUAAGCAACAAGUAUAAAAGAUAAAUGACAUAUAAUAUUUAACAUGAUUCGCCUCCAUCAUUGAACCUACGUCCACAAAGAGAAACAUAUUCUUUAUUAUGAGAGGAAAAUCUUAUACAAGAAUAUAAUUUGAACUCAAUUCCAACCAUUGUAUACCAUCUUUCAUCUCCUAAGAACCCUAUAUCAUUACCCAUGUAUAAGGCUAUAUGUUACCUCUUGUGUACCCUUGUGUGUCUCUUGUAUAGUAUGUCAACCCACCUAUUUAUAGAUAGUAUUAUUUGGCAAAAAAUCCAAAUAACAAUAGGAAACCAGUACUAAUUCCUAAACUUGUACAGAAUAAAAAAUGACUUCUAAUCUUAAUCAAAAUAGGAAAUUUCUUAACUACUAUUUCAAGUAACUAAAACCAGUUAGGUAACUAGUUACUUCCACACAAAAUAAGAAAUCUGUUUAAAAGAAAUUAAACCAAUUUCUUAACAAAUCACGUUAAAUCUUGUGUGUUAUUUAUCAUUCAUGUUUGUUGCUUGUUUCUAAUUAAAUUGUUGUGUUUUUUAUUUUUCAAUAGUCAUUUGUUCCGUGUCUCAAUCCCAAGGGAUCUCUCUUAAAGGUGUUUCUGCCUAACAAAUGGUAUCAAAUUUUCUGGUUAUGAAUUUGAAUUACUCAUGGACAAGUGAAUUUUUCUCAGAAUUGAACUGAUAAAAAUUCUCUUCUGGGUGGUGGACCAAAGUAUCAUGGAGUUUGACUGGUGUUGAUUCAGGUGCGCUAUGGAUUUGGCAGAGGGUCCAGUUGGCGUUAGACCAAAGAGUCAAGGGUUGGCAGGGGUCCAAAAUCCAGUUUAGAUGUUGAAAAGAGUUGGUCCAUGAAUGGAAAAUGAGGUGACCUUAUGUGUUAAGAUGAUUUUGUGUUAAGUAUUAAAGUGAGCUCAGAGAAGAGUUUGUAAACUUGGAUUCAAUGUGAGAGGCUACUUAUGAAAGGAAAUAUUGUUAGAUUAUGUGUAAGGAAUUGUAUCCCACAUUAGUUGAGAGAUAGAGAAAGAGUAUUUAAUAUAUAAGUAAGGAUCCAAAAUCUAAAAGGUUAAACUUUUAGCUCAGAAUUGAAUUCCUGGCUUAUAUUUUAGGCUUUUUGAUGGCCUCUCUCUAAGAUGUUUCUCCCUAACAACUGAAGACUUGGAAUGUAUUCAGAACACAAUAUAUGAAACCGUUAAAUCUAUACAUCAAUUUUUUACAUGCAUGGACAUUUUUUCUCAUUAUUAGGGGUGGGCACGGGUCGGGUACCCGCCCCGAACGGUAAUUAGCUGACCCGACCCUAACAUGUCGGGUCACUAUUUUUUUGACCCUAAUCCGCUCCGAGCUCCCUCGGGUACCCGAUCCUCGGAUACCCGAAAAAUAGGGGCGGGUCAUAGGGUACCCGCCCCUAUUUUCAAUCUAUAAAUUGCUUUAAACCAAUUUAUAAACCAAUUCCACAAUUCCAAUAGUCAUUCUCUGGUUAUAUACUAGCUCGUUUGGGUUUGAUACGCAUACAUAUCUGUAGUAUGCUUUGCAUUUUGCAAUCACUGGAUAGCUAGCAAAAGUAAACACAAACAAAUUAAAGAAAAGAUAAUUGCAUCAUUAGGGAAUGGUACUUCAACCCCUGACCACUCUGUAUUAUGGCACAGUAGUAUUAAGUAGGAAGGCCAGAGUCACGGAGUACCCUAUCAAAAACCAAAAGCAACUGCCUGAAGUGCGUAAUCAAAAUGAUUAACAAAACAGAUUGAUUGUGCAAGGAGCAUAGAGAAGCUGGAGAAUUGCCAAACACAUAACAGGGACCUAAACAGAGGUAUUGUGUCGAAGCAAUAUUAACACAAGGAGUGGAAGUGCCAAGAAUAUAGAAAGCCAUCAAAAGAGGUAUUGUAACAACAAUUUCACACCUCCUAGCAUCGAGCAAGGAGUAGUGUACUGUAAUCACUUCAACCAAAAUUUUAAUAAAGUCCAAACCUACACGUAAUAUACACCAUCACCUGAAGAAGCUGGAUAGCCAUCAAUUAAAGAAGGUCCAAACUUGCAGAUGAAGAAGGUCGGCGUUUUACAGCUUCUGCUUGAGGCUUGAGAAAUCGAAAUCGAAACACUGUUGAAUCGUCUGCUUGAGGGCUGAGGCUUGCAGGCUUGAGUUCAACUUGACAAAAUUGAAGAGAUGGACAAAGGAGGUCGAGAAGCAGAAGAAGAAAAUGAAAUGAGUGAAGACGGAAGAGUGUCGGCUGAAGCUGAGGCUAAACUCUGAAUGGAUGACCGAUGGAUUGAUUUAGCUUAGGAACUUAGGGUUAAUAACUUAAAAUAUUAUACAAUUAUCCCUAUAUUUUUAAUAUUUAUAUAUUAUACCCCCGGGUCGGGUACCCGCGGGUUUUCACUUUCACGAUCCGUAUCCGUAUCCGAAUAUUUAGGGUACCCGACCCUAUCUGAUCCGCUGAUUGAAAUCGGAUCGGGUAUCCGAUUUUUCGGUGCGGAUCGGAUCGGAUCUCUCGGGUUUUCGGAUUUUCGGAUUUUUUUGCCCACCCCUACUCAUUAUAAAGGUUGUUUUGAGUGUCAAAACAAGUGCAUUUGAAUAGGCAUUAUUUACAAAAAAAUAUUUGUUUGCAUCAUAAAAUUCAAUUUUUUUAUUUUUUAAGCUAUCUUUUAUUUCACAUACAUCAGAUCAUUUAAAAAAUGCUACAAUAAUUAUUCUAAAUAACAUUUAAACCAAUCUCCUAUCCCAACACAAAUAUUGAAAAAAACAUAAAUAAAGAAAAACAUAGCUUUAGGUUUGGUUUUCUUGUGUGAGAAAUGAGAACACUCAAAUGUUCUCUCUCAACUAUUUCUGAUCAAUGAAUAUUAUUGGAUCCACCCUAACUUGAUAAUUUAGAAACAGAGAGUGGAGCGUUGCAUAUUUUAAAGAUUCCUAGAAUAUUUUUUAUUCUUUGACCAUACAGCUAUUAUACUUGGCCGUUAAUGUCAUUAUCAUUGAAUUUUUGGAUAAAACAUUAUCUAUAUUCUUUGAUUGGUCAUUGUAGGAGCUCAACUGUAUAUACUCAAAAUAUUUGGAAGGCAAAUUGUUUCUAAGACCCAAUUUAGAGGGGCAAAGCGUAAAUUAACGUCAGUUUAUCCAUUAAAUUGUAGAAGGUUGAGCUAAGCCAAUCCUCCUCAAAGUUGAAAUAAUUGCAUGACUUAAUUACUGGACAGUGACGCAACUAUAUUGAUUUGAUCGUGAAUCAGGUACCAUGACUUCAAGCGGGAUAUCUUAGGUUGGACAGAGUGUAGGGACGAUUGUGAACCCUAAUAAUUCAUCGAUCCAAAUUUGUUAACAAGGCAAAAAAAUUUUGAGUUGUAAGAAUCAGAAAAUAACACGUAAGUCUAAUAUAACUAUCACGUGCGGACUGAUAUGAAUAGUAGUAAAAUGUAAUUUCUUUGUUAUAUUUUAAAAAUUUCUUGUUAGGAUCCAAACACGGAACAAACAACUAUUGAGACAUCAAGUACACAACAAUUUGAACAAGCCACAAGCAUGAGAGAUAGACAACACACAAUAUUUAACGUGGUUCGGCUCCACCAUUGAGUGUACGUCCACGGAGAGAAACCCGUACUUUAUUAUGAGAGGAAAACCUUAUACAAGAAUACAACUUGAAUCCAAAUCCAACCCUUGUAUAACAUCUCUUAUCUCCCAAGAACCCUCUUUCACCACCCCAUGUAUAAAGCUACAUGUUGUCUCCUGUAUGCCUUUGCGUGUCUCUUUGUAGUAUACCAACCGACCCAUUUAUAGAGAACAUUAUUUGGUCAAAACCCAAAUAAUAAUAGGAAAUCAAUUCUAAUUCCUAGAGUUGCAUAGAAUAGGAAAUAACUUCUAAUUCUAAACUAAAUAGAAUAUUCCUUGACUACUAUUUCAAGUAACUAAAACCAAUUAGGAAACUAAUUAUUUCCACACAAAACAAGAAUUCUAUCUAAAAGAAAUUAAGCCAAUUUCCUAACAAAUCUCCACCUUGACGAAAAUUUCUUUUAGCAACCAUUUGUCUUCAACUACCAAAUAAUAUGGUAUCGAACUACACACCUGAAUCAAUACAGUCCUAACACCAAAUUGAUUCAAUCGGCAAAUGAACAUGUGUAGUUACCCCGAGUCCAACUUUUAGUUGACUCGUGAGAAAGUGUCUCAAUUCAGCAUCUCCCUUUGCAGGAUUUCUUCUCACCACCACUUACAAUCUGGGAUCCCCUUCUAUGAGCUCUAACCCUGAUCAUUGAAGCAACCAAGUGAUAAAAUUACCAUACUUCUUCCCAUCCUCAGGAUUGUCUCGCCAUGUAUGGUUUCCAAGACUCCGCCUAAAACAAAAAACUCGUAACUAUCAGAGUCUUCUGGCGCAUGAAAAUUAGAUCUCUUUAUUUUUUUGGGACACGUGCCAUACCGUCCAAAAAACAUAAUCAAAAUCUAAAAUUCACCGGGAUGAAGUAUCGACUGUUGGAGAUGUGAGAAAGUCUCCAUCGAUUCACGUCCAAAAUCAACAUUGGUCUCCACCUUUUCCUUGACCCUUAAAUUAUUUGUCUAGGUUCAUCGUCAAGUAUCUCCAUGCUUUUCGACUUUUCAUCCUUCACCAUCAAUGUUUUCUGUCAAGUCAUUGAAACAAAGAUAUCACUCGUUAAAUUGUUCAAUUAGUAACAGUUACCAAUCCUCUUGAUCUCAAUAGUUAAUUAGGAUCCAACCACGAAUUUUGCUCAUUGCCCAAUCUCGCAACCUGAAGCUUUGAUAGGUUCAUGAGUAAAGGAUUGUGUCCUACAUUGAUCCGAGAGAUGGAAAAAGAGUGGUUAAUAUGUAAGUAAAGGUCCAAGAUCUAAUAACUUAAACUUUUGGGUCAGAGUUGAGUUCUUGACUUAAAUUUUGGGAUCUUUGGUGGACUCUCUCGAGGUGUUUUCCCCUAACAAAUUGCUAUCAGAGCUUCAGGUUGUGAGACUGGGCUACUCAUGGGCAAGUAGAUUCUUCUUGGAGUUGGACCAGGUGAAAAUUCUCUUCUUGAUGGUAGACCGAAGUGUCAAGGAGUUCGGUUGGUGUUGGACUAGGUGUGCCAUGAGUUUGGCAGGGGGUCCGGUUGAUGUUAGACCAAGAAGCCAAGGGUUGGCAGGGGUUCAGAAUGCAGUUUAGAUGCUGAAGAAUAGUGGGUCCAUGUUUGAGAGAAGAUGUGACCUUGGUGAUAAAGGUGGACUUGCAUUAAGUAUUAAAGUGGGUUAGAAAAAAGGGCUUAUAUAUUUGGAUUUAAUGUGGGGGUUACUCAUAAAGAGGGAGAUUUGUUAGAUUCAUGACUAAAGGAUUGUGUUCCACAGUGAUCCGAGGGAUGGAUAAGAGCGGUUAAUAUAUAAGUAAGGGACUAAGACCUAAUAACUUAAGCUUUUGGGUUAGAGUUGGAUUCCUGACUUACAUAUUGGGUUUUUUGAUGGAUUCUCUCGAGGUGUUUCCCCUAACAUUUCUAUUAUAAAGAUGUACAAGUUAUUUACUGAUGAAUUACAACUUGUUAAAGUACUCUUACAUCAUUUAGAAAUACUUACAUCGAUAACUUUUCCUACCACUCUCCAUCUCGAGUCAAUAUGUUCCCUUUCCUUAUAUUAUUGUGCCCCAAUAUACCAAAAAUCUUGGAACUCCGCAUUUCUAUGGAUAUGAUGCAGACUUGGAGUGGGUAUUCUUUGGAAUUUGGAUAAGAUGUAGACUUGGCCUGGGUUGAGACAUCCACAAGUUGUAGAGAAUUAGACAUUACAAUGGACAUUACGAUGGCUGCCAACAACGCAAAAGGAUCAGGAAUAAAUUUUGGGAUAAUUUCAUAAACCAUCCCUAUGGUUUCUAACAAGAUUAUUUAGCACCCUUAAAAUUUUAAAAAUAUCAUUGAAUUCCCCUAUUUUAAACUUUUUUUUUUACAUUCUCAACCCAUUUUAAAAUAUAUCAUUAGAAUAUUUAUUUUAAGAGAGAAGAUAACUUGUUUCAGAAAAUUGCCCUUUUCUUGUGGUUCUUUAAUUGUCAAAACAUACAAAUUUAAUCCCUCAAUAUUUCAAAACUUGACCAAUGUAAUUCGUUAAGUGAAAUUAUAAGUUUUUAACUGGGUAGAGUGAUUCUUUAAUAGUUUUUGUGUUAUGAUUUGGAUACAAAAUUCAAACUUCUACAAAAAUUACAAAUUUCAUAAAUAUGACCUAAAAAGCUAUAAAGAUUAAGAAAGUAGCUGUUUGUACCUUAAGAAAAAUCUCAAAUAAGUUUUUUGGUAUAAUUUUCAGAACUUUUCUUUUUCCUUUUAAUACUCAAGCCAUUGAUUGGGAUAACAAGAAUUUUAAGAUUCUAAACAACUAUAAAACUCCUUCGGUUAACCAAAAUGCCUAUACAUUUAAGAAAGUUAUUUGAUGCUCUAUUGGCACACGAUAAGCACAUAAAAAAUGAAAUUGGAUCCAUAUUAAAGUUUUUAAAUUAGUGCCCACCUCUUGAAUUGCAACACUUUCACAUGAGAAUUUUACCUUCUUUUAAAAAAUAGUACCGGGCUCAUUCCUCAUCUAGCGUCCUUAGGGCACCAAACCUUAACCACAUUUCAAAUAAAUUUUUAAUUUUUUUGGGCCUCAAAAAAACAUACUGCUGAUAGUCAUUGUUGGUAUAUUUUAUCACAUCAAACUUAUGCCUUCAUGCAUUUUUUUGUCUUUGUUUUUUGCCUUGAAUUAAUAUAUUUUUACUCAUAUGUCUUGAAAUAUGUUGAAAAAAAGGAGGUCAAUGACAUCUCUCAAAAUUCAAGGGUGCUAAAUGAUAUUAUCAAAAAUCUCAGGGAAAAUUUCUAAAGUUAUCCCUCAAAAUUUGGCAAUACUUUAGAAAAUAUAAAGAGACAUUUAGGUAAAUGGUAUUUCUUAUAACCAAAGGUUGUUAUAAUGUUUAUAUUCAUAGUUGGUGUGCAUACAAUCACCUAUAACUGAUAUUAAAAAUGACUGAUGCAUUGGAUCACCAGAGGUUUGCGGCAAUUGUUGGACGUGAUUCUAUCAUUUGAAAGGAAAAUUUUAUGAUCUAUUAUGGAAACUUGCUUUUAGAUUUGUAUCCUCAAUAAUGAUCUCUUAUUUGAGAUAAUUUUGGAUUGUAAAUUAUUUGAGAUAAAUUUGUGAAAAAGUACUGUAGCACCUUUUUUUAUAUGAUGUAUGUGAGAUAAAAAAGUGAUUGGAAAAUGUAUUGAUGAUGCAAGCAAAUCAGUGUGUGUAAAUAAAGUGUAAAUAAAGUGAAAUAAUCUUCAAUCCAAACGCACUUUCAAUGGAAAAAUCUAAUCUAGGUCUUGUUUGGAUUGCAAUUUUUCUCCAAAAAAUUUUUAUGUUUUUCAUGAACGCAUUUUUUAAUUUGUCUUUUUACUUCACAUAUAUCGAAUUGUUACUGUAUAUUUUUUUAUGCAAAAAUUCCAGAAAAUAGCAAUUCAAACGACUCUAACGUUAUGAUAUCAAAAGGAAUUGUAGUAAAUCCUUUAAAAAUAAUGGUGGGGAUUAAAGAUAAAGGAAAAUUUUGAAAUUAUGGAGGGACUCGCACGUCAAAAAUACCCCAUCACGGGCAUUGGUAGUUUUGGUUGUCUACAUUUACAAACCUUAUCUUCAUCUACGAUUUUAGUAUCUCCUUCAUUGAUGUAGCCAAUGAAUUUGGAGUUCCUUGCUAUAUAUUCUACACAUCUGGUGCUGCGAUGCUUGGCCUUAUAUUCCAUUUGCAAAGUCUGAGAGAUGAUCUCAAACAAGAUUUGAGACGUUAUGAGAAUUCGGACGUUCAUUUAGCUGUGCCUACUUACAUCAAUCCUGUUCCAGCUAAAGUUUUGCCUCUGGGACUCUUUGACAAGGAAGGAAUUGGCGGCAUAAUCCUCAAUCAGGUCAGAAGAUUCAAGGAGACCAAGGGAAUCAUAGUUAACACUUUCCUUGAGCUAGAAUCCCAUGCGAUUCACCCCUUGAGCAAUGAUAAAACCGUCCCACCAGUAUAUGCAGUAGGGCCUGUAUUGAAUCUGAAGGGAAGCAAUAGUCAAAAUCAAGAAACUGAGAUGAUUAUGAAAUGGCUCGAUCUUCAGCCAGAAUGUUCUGUUGUGUUCCUUUGCUUUGGUAGUGGAGGUAGUUUUGACGGUGACCAAGUGAAGGAAAUUGCCUAUGCACUCGAGCGCAGUGGAUAUCGAUUCCUCUGGUCAUUGAGAAGGCCUUCACCUAAAGAAAAUUUUGAGUUUCCAAGUAAGUAUGAGAACCUGGAUGAAGUCUUGCCAGAAGGGUUCUUGCAACGAACUGCAGCCGUUGGAAAAGUUAUUGGAUGGGCACAACAGGCGGCAGUUCUAUCCCAUCCUGCUGUGGGAGGCUUUGUUUCUCAUUGUGGGUGGAACUCAAUAUUGGAAAGUGUUUGGUGCGGUGUGCCAGUGGCAACAUGGCCACUUUAUGCUGAGCAGCAGAUGAAUGCGUUCUUAAUGGUGAAGGACUUGGCAACGACAGUGGAGAUCAAAAUAGAUUUCAAAAGGGAUUUCGUACUGGGUGUGAAUAGUGAGAUUUUGAGUGCAGAUGUGAUUGAAAGAGGGAUUAAAUCAGAGACAAGGUAAAGGAAAUCAGAGACAAGAGCAGGUUGACUCUAAAUGGAGGAGGAUCAUCCUAUGCUUCCUUGAAGUUGUUUCUUGAAGAUGUAAUAGAUAGUAUUCCAUAAUUGUUUGUCAGAUCUGAAUUGUUAUAAUGUAUUGCAUAAUUGCUUCUUUUUCUUAAAUCCAUAGCUGAAGAUCAACCAUUACUAAUAUCCAUUAACUCUGCUAUAACCAAUUUUACUCUGAAAAUCAGUGCUUUUUUCUGUUUUUGCUUGUUAGGCUUUCUUCUGUUUUCCCUUUCACACUUUCUUUUGCUAUUCUAAUCUUCUACGUGGUACUUUGUAGGUCAAAUACAAUCCGUGACUGUGAAAUGGACUAGCAAGGGCAAUGUAGACUUACAAUUCAGUUAAUAGUAACAGUGAAUAGCUAAACUUAUUAAUUAAACUUCGGAGUUGGUAAAGUUUAGGGAGUAUUAUAGUGCUAAACCAAAAAUGAUGGGACCAAAUUGUGACAAUUUUACUGCGGCAUUGAGAGCAGAGUAUGUCUUUUGCAGCAUUUACUCACACCUAGUUGUGGUGCGGGCUGUUCUACUUGCAAUAAUUGGUACUUACUGCAUACUGCCUUUCACUUUUUGAUUGCAAUUAAAGCACAGUUUACUCUUAUAGAUGGAGCCAAUCAAGAUACCUGCCAUGCUUGAGAAGGUGGUACGGUUUUAGUAGGAGGAUUGUUGUCGUGCAGAUUUUUCAUUUGGUGGUUCAAGAUGUGGUGGUUCCAUUAAAACGUGUCAUUGGCAUGCUAAUUGGAGAGAUGUCAUUACUGCACUGACAUAUCAUCGGCCACCGGUGCUCUCUAAAAUGGUUAAGUGGCAAUUUCCGUCUCCUGAGUUUGCUAAACUGAAUACAGGUGGUUCGGCUGUGUUGCAAGGUGUUACUAGUUGAUAUGGUUCGCAAUAUCGGCCGAUACCGAUACGUAUCGGCCUAGUCGUAAUCGGAAUGGAGGGGACAGAUACAAUACCGAUCCCUAAAUUGUGGAUAUUACUAUAUCCACGAUGACUCGCUCUGACUCGAUCGUUAUUGGCCGAUUCGAAUUUGUGAUGCAUGAUACCGUUUGAUAUAUUCUAGUCAACUCAGAUAUUUUUUAAAUUAUACCUUUUUGGUAUUUUUCUAAUUUUAGUAAUUUUUUAAAAAUUUUUGAAAACUUUCAUGUGCUAUAAUGUGUGUAUCACCCGAUAUUCAACCGAUAUGCCACAACAGAUGUGGAAUAAUCGAGACCGCGAUGCGACCGUGACCCGUGAUAGCGAACCAUGGUAGUGGAGGAGGAACUGUAAGGAUUGAAUUCGGUGCAUUUUCAGAUUUCUUUGGCAAGACAAAUUCUUUACAAGCGGAGGCGCGUGCUCUUUUAGACUUUUAGUUGGUCUUCAGCUUUGCUAGAAAUAUGGAAGAUCACAGGUGCGUUAGGAACUAGACUCGCUGGUUCUAGUUGGGGUAUUGGAAGGAAGGUUUCAGAUUCCGGCAGCCAUUCGGGCAACAGUUAAGAGGGAUCCGUAGUGUUCCACUGUUUCCGUGAGGCAAAUGAUGUUGCAGAAGCUUUGGUAGCUUCUUGGAUUCAACAUGGGCAAUUUGACGUUUACAAAUUGAGUUCUGAUUUUUCUUCAUUAGCUAAGGAUUUAUUUUGUUUAGACAAGAUAGGUAUAUGUAAUUUUAGAUUCUAUAUCAGGAGGUAAAGGCUUUAUGUCCCCCUCCUUCGUUGUACUUUUUCCUAAUUUCGUUAUUAAUAAAAUAGGCAUCGAAAUCCACACGCCAAAUAUGAUUGGCAGAUAAAAAAAAAUCUAUUUGUAUUAAUAGUUUCUCAUUUAUUAAUACUAUAAAUAUAAAUCUUUAAAAUAAAUCCCAGUUAAUAUUUGUCAUAAUUAUGAUACUUUAUUAUUACAUUAAUGUAUGUAUCGUUUAUACUAAUUGAAAUAUCGAGAUAAUUAAUAAGACAAAUGCCAUUCAAUAAAUAUAAAUAAUUAAAUUGUAUAAAAAAGAUCCUAAUCUUUAGGGCGUACAUACGAAUACCACGUGUCCCUAUUGGCCAAAGCAACAAGUUAGUUUUGUAUAUGAAAAAGUUCAAAGAAUGUUUUUUAACCCCACUCAUAUGUAAGCGAGCCCCCUUUGACCAAAUGAACUUGUUCAUUUAAGGUAUUAAGUUUAAGAAAAAUUUUGUUUUUAUUCCUAGUAAUUGUAAAAAUCAACUCGUAUAUUUGCAAGUAAUUCUAUAGUUAUAUAGACAGUGAAAAAAUAAAUAACAAAUAAAAUACCCCUAGAACUUAGAGGAGGCUCUGGCUUCUAAUCCCUCCUGAUUUCUUAAAUCUCAUCAUUUACAAGAAAAAUUUUUAAAAUAAUAAUAACAAACAUAAUACAUAUAUCCCUUUAUUAUGAAUGUAGUACUAAUACUACAUUUUAAGGCUUCGUAGCCUAUGAAUGGAUUUGUUAUGCUAAAAGAUUUUGUCUUUUCAGUCAUAGCGCAUUAAGAGGUUCCUUGCGUGUUUUGCAUAUUUAUUGACUGCAUAUGCUAUUUGAUUUGUAAAUAUUAUUAUUGUAUUAAAUACUUCUCGCAAAAUUAAAAUAUUUUUCUAUCAUUUGUGCCCUCACUGGAAAGUUAUCCUAGCUCCACCACUGCAUGAAACUCUAAAAUCUAUGCAUCAAUCUGUCGCAUGCAUUGACAUUUAUUCUCAUUAUAAAGAUAGGUUUGCGUAUUGAAACGGUAUCUGAAAAAAGAGAAAACAUAGCUUAAGGUGGUUUGGUCAUAUGCGAAUAUUCAAGACUUUUCUCUCAGCAUCGUCUGAUCAUAUAUUGCUGCAUCCACCUAACAGAAGGAUGGCCAUAUCAUUUUCACAUAUAAGUUAGGCAAAAAUUAUAGACAUUAGCUAAGGAUUACAUGCAUAGCGAGGAAAUAAUAAGCAAAAGAUGAUGGCAUGAUUUUUGGCAAUUGAGCUGACAAGAAAAGCGAAACGUAUGAUGUAAGAGUUAUAGGUAAGAGUUAUAUGCAUACCAGUUAGCGUGGAAGGAAACUGGUUUGUGUUGCUAACUUUCGGUGAAUAGAAAGAGCUGGUGGAAAAGAACUGCUUCCUCUUGGUCACUUUCAGCAAUUAAUAAAACCUGGAUGUUCAAUGAAGUGAGAAAAAGAAUACAAAUAAUUAUGAGGGAAAAAACAGAAGACAGGCAGAAACGAAAAACAAAUGGCUAGCAUACGUAAAAAGAAAAAAAAGCAAUAGAUAAAAUAUUCGUUGCUGGAACUAUAACAGUACCCAGAUGGAAGUCACGUCAGGCGGAGGAGCAAAAAGAACAUGAAGAGCAAGGAACACAAAGACGGGUACUGAGCGGGUGGUUUUUUACAGAAGGAAAAAGAAAUGAAACAUAAACAGCAGUGCUAGAAGGAAAGACAAAUACUAAAAGCAAAUAUGUAUAAAAGAGGGACAAAAAGCAUGAAGGGAAAAAAUUCAGACGGUAUGAUAAUAGGUCUGAGAUAAAGAAAUUACCUUGAUACUCCCUCCGUCCCAUUGAAAGUGUCAUGCUUUCUAUUUUGGUCUGUCCCAAAAUAUUUAUCACUUAUCAAAAAUGAUUGUAAACUUUAUCAAUAAUUUCCGAUACUUACCCCUGUCUCACCUGACUAAAAAACAGGUGUUAUUAUGGCCAAAAAGUCUUCCGUCAAGACUUGCAACUUUUCCAGUUUAGUUGAUGGUUUUGCACGCACCAACCAACGUGAAAUGAUUGUUGUCCGUGGCUUCACACUCUACUUCAAAUUAGAAUAAGUCACAUGCCAAUCAAUAAACAUAUGGAUCCCACUAUCACAUUUUGACCAUCUAUUCUGCAGCUUUUGUGUUUAAACGAAGGGUAACAUGAAAAACACGGAUGAAUUUUUCAAAAAUUGAGCACUGUUGAUAAUAAGUUGGAGUCCCGUAAAGUGACAAACUUUUCGGGACGGAGGGAGUAAUUGGUAAGAAAGGAUAAAAAUGUAUAGUGGGUUGAAAAACGACACAUAUAGAACCUUGAUAAUUUGUAAGGAAGGAAAAAAAUGUGUAGUGGGUUGAAAAAUGACAAAUAUCUAAAAUAUAACUAAUUAAAAAGGAGUAGUUGUUAAACAAUCACUGUCACUAAUUAAUGAGCAAUUCAAAUUGUGUAAGAAAUGACCAAUUCAAAUUGUUGCACAAAGGCAGACACUCGAGCACAAAGUACGUGGAACACACACAUGGACAAAUGUACCGUAAGGGUAAACACUUUAAAAGGCACAUUGAACUUAUGUUAUGAAAAUAAAGUAUAAGGGCAGGAAUAGCAAAGUAAAGGUUAUACAAGGAUAAUAAGGUAAAUAUAUUCCAUUUUAUAUAUCUUUCUAUUCCAUGGGUGUAGUUUGUAUUGCAUGAGUGCUGCACAACGAUGGCAACACGGACAGAGGAAAGGCUGAAGACAGACGACAACUAAAGCAGGGAUGGUGCAGGGCCAUUAAAGCGCAAUAUCUUUGUUGGCCAUUAUAAUAUCUAACAUAUCUGAUUUGUGAUUGUAAUAACAGAAGCAAUAAUAGAAGGACGGAAGAGGCAAGAACACAUUGCAGGUCAUGCGCGGUGGAAAGACCAAGACACCCACGAAGCCAUCAGAAUUAUCAUCGAAAUCGACCUAUGAUUGUACUAUAGCUAUUCCCCCUUCCCCUUUUAUAUAUUUUAGAUAAAGGUAGGUUUGCGUAUUGAAACGGCAUCUGAAAAAAGAGAAAACAUAGCUUAAUGUGAUUUGGUCAUAUGCGAAUAUUCAAGACUUUUCUCCCAGCAUCUUCUGAUCGUAUAUUGCUGCAUCCACCUAACUUGAUAAUUUAGAGAGAGAGGCGCGUUGCAUACAUGUCACAUCAGCAUGUUAUUUCUCCACCUAGUAAAUACUUUAUGUACUCAUGUAAAGGGUAACAUAUUGUUCAUACAGCCAUUAUCGGUGGCCUUUAAUGUCAUUAUCAUUGAAAUCUCUAAACAAAAGAAGAUUAUCUCUAUUCUUUGAUUGAUCAUAGUAGGUGCUGCAGUGUACAUAUUUAAAGUAGACCCAAUUUAGAGGGGUAACGUGUAAUUAAAUAACCUCAAAUUUUCCAUGAAGCUGCAGAAAUUAGAGCAUAGCCAGUUCUGCUAGAAGUUGAGAUACAAUCGGAGCCUAUUGGACGGUGAUACAACUAUGUUAUGCAACCGUGACACAAGUAUUUCAUGUGAUAUAAGCCACAACUUGGAAAGGAUUUUUUUGGGUCAAUAUUCCCUUUUCCUUAUAUUAUUGGGAUAAUUUUAGAAACUGCCAUCGAGGUUUUGACCAUUUCAUAUUGUCUUCUAAAAUUGUAGAAACAUUACUUACCUUCAUGUUAGUUAUUUGGGAUCCAGUGCCUACAUCAUUGACUCUGCUACCUUUACAACUUAGUUGGUUUUACAUAGUUUUGUCCAUAGAAAAAAAUUAAGUCAUUUGUUCAUUGCAUUAGUCAUAAUUUGAAAUGUGGAAACAUAACCAAUUUAUCAUUGAAUUGAAACGAGUGCCAAAUACUAGGCACCCUUUUUUUAAAUUGAUAUGCUUGACAAAAAAUAGGAAUAAGACAUGAGAGACUUGUUUGGACAGAAAUACUGGUUAAAAGUUCAAAACUAGGUGUUUAAGAGGCUAAGGCAAGGUCUAAUUCCUCUCAAAAUUGUGGUAAUAACAGCGUCUUAAGAUAGGAGAAAAGAGUUUUUUUUUUGUUAAACUUUGAAAGCUAUUAUUUUUUAGUAGCAGAUGAUGGAAAUUUCUUUUUGAUUAUAGCUAAUAAUAGAAUAGAAAGUGAAAAGAAUGAAUUGGAUCAUGCAUACAGUAAAAAAAAAAAAAAAAGUAAUUUGGCUUAUUUUAUCUUGUUUAUGGUGAGCAAUAGUUAAGGGGCACUUGUUAAAUUACAAAAUCUUCUCUCUCCUGAAAUCAAUUUUUUAUUGUGUUUCUUUCUAAAUUGAGUUGAAUGGUUACAAGAAAAUUAGAGUUUCAAGGAGGUUAAUAAUAUUUUCAAAACUUUAGGGAGGACAAUAAAAUAUAUUAAAAACCUCAAGCGAGGAGUCUGAAAUUAAUAGUCCAAAAUCUUGGAUCCCCGCAUUUUGAAGUGGGUUUUCUCUGGAUAUGUUGCAGACUUCGAGUGCUUGAAUUUUCCCCAAGUUCACAAUUUCAAUGGCUGGAAAGUGGAAACAACUCAUUGCGGUGAUUUUACUGUUUUAAAAGUGAAAAAAUCACAAUAAAAUUUUUGCAAUGCUUUUAAGAACGGACAUUUUUGUGAACAGUAUAGCAGAAGUUGUUCUAACGAUUAGAUUCAUAAUUUUUUUUAUAUAAAACAAUUCAUAUUUCAUUAAAUAUUAAAAUCUACACUAGUAACAGAAAUCUAAAAAUUUAGGGCCUGUUUGGAACCUGAGUUUUUUGGGAGUUUGUCAAAAACUUUACUGUAGUGCACUGUAGAAGUUUUUGAAAAAAUGUUGUAGAAGUUUUUGUAAAGUGAAAAACUUUUUUUUGUAGAAGUUUUUGAAAUGUUACUGUAGACAUUUUUUGGAUUAUUUUUAGAGGUAUUUUUAAAACAUAUUAUUGAGUAUUUUAUAAUUUAUAAUUUUUAUAUUUUUAAACAUUUAUGCAUUUAUAAUACAUUUAUAAAUAUUUAGAAAUAAAUAUAUUUAUAUAUUUAUAUAAAAAUAUAAAAAUAUAUUAUAUUAUACAUAAUACGUAAUAUACAUAUAUUUAUAAAUGUAUACAUGUAUAAUUAAUAUAAAUGUAUAAAUUAUAAAUGAAUAUUAUAUAAAUGUAUAAAUUAUAAUUUAUAAAUGUAUAUGAUGAUUAUGUAUAAAUGUAUUAAUAUAAUUAAUAUAAAUAUAUAAAUGUAUUAAUAUUAUGUAUAAAUGUAUAAUUAAUAUUGUUUAUAAUUAAUAAUUUUUAUUGUUUAAAUAUUUAUAUGUAUUUAUGCAUUUAUAAUACAUUUAUAAAUAUUUAUAAAUAAAUAUAUUUAUAUAGUUAUAUAAAAAUAUAUAAAUGUAUUAUAUUAUAUAUAAUACAUAAUAUACAUAUAUGUAUAAAUGUAUAAUUAAUAUAAAUAUAUAUACUAUAAAUGAAUAUUAUAUAAAUGUAUAAAUGUAUUAAUAUUAUGUAUAAAUGUAUAAUUAAUAUUUUUUAUAAUUUUUAUUGUUUAAAUAUUUAUAUAUAUUUAUGCAUUUAUAAUAUAUUUAUAAAUAAAUAUAUUUAUAUAGUUAUAUAAAAAUAUAUAAAUGUAUUAUAUUAUAUAUAAUACAUAAUAUAAAUAUAUUUACAAAUGUAAUAAUUGUAUAUUAUUAUAAAUGAAUAUUAUAUAAAUAUAUAAAUUAAUAUAUUGUAAAUAUAUAAAUAUAUAAUAUUAUGUAUAAAUGUAUUAAUAUAAUUAAUAUAAAUGUAUAAAUGUAUUAGUAUUAUGUAUAAAUGUAUUAUGUUAUACAUAAUAACAUAAUACAUAAUAUAAUUGUAUAUAAAUAUACAUAAAUAUAUAUACAUAAAUGUGUAAUAUAUAUAAUAUUUAUUAUAUUUAUUAAAUAUAUAAUAUUUAUAUAAAUGUAUAAUAUAUAAUAUUUAUAUAAAUGUAUAAUUACAUAUUUAUAUUAAUAUUAAUUUAUAUGGCAUAUAAUAUUUAUAUAAAUAUGUAAAAAUAUAUUUUAAAUAAAAUAAAACAUUUAUAAUAUGUUUAAAUAAAUAUAUAAUAUUAUAAAUAUAUUAUAUAUAUAAUAAAUUUUUGAGGGUGAGGGACUCAAAAAUUCAAAAAAAAAUUUUGAGGUUACCGGCGGCGCCGGAAUAGGUGAUCGGCGCCGGGAGAGAUGGUGGAGGCGGUGUCUGGUGUGGUGGGUUGGGUGAGGGAGGAAGAAAAGUUUUUGAGAAAUUUUUUGUGUAUAGAUUUUUAAAGUGUUUAGGUAAAAAACUUUGAAAAGUUUUUUGGGGUUCCUGUAGCAAAAGUUGUUAAAAAACUAGUAGCUAAAAAACUUGGUAAAAAACUAGGGUGCCAAACAGGCCCUUAAUAAAAAUUUUCACGGUAAAGUUCCAAAUAUAUUUAAACAUCAAAGAGAAAACUAUAGUACCAAGAACAUCUACGAAUGUUUCCUACUAUCAAAUCUGCUGGUUAACUACUUCAACCUCAGAAGUAAUGAAGAGAAUAAUUACAUUAUCCCCCUUUAACCUAUAACUAGUCUCCAAUAAUUAAUAGGGAUAAUUUCAGAUACCUCCUCGAGGUUUUUGACAAUUUCAUUGAGCUCCCCUGAGUUUUGAAAAACUACACCUACUUCCCUUGAUUUGAUAGUGUUAGUAAAAUAAUAUUUACUUGAUCAAAUUUUUAAAUGAAUACUCAAAUAUGCGCUUGUGUAAUGAGCUUUAAUUUAUUUCUGUAUACAAUUAUAAGAUUAUCUAAUAUAAUUAUAAGGAAAAGGUACCAAAUUUUUCAUGUCCAUACCUACUAUUUGAUAAACAACUAUAAUAACAAUUUUAUCACUAUGAUAGGAUACUUUUGAUGGUAUUCUAUUAUGGAUUUAGAUUAUAAGAUAGAAAAGAAAAUGUUGUUAUAAUUCAUUUAGAGUUUAUGAAUUUUUCGAGUAGUGGGAUAAUCAUAAUUUAGUAGUAGUUUUGGGCCAUUUCUUUUGUAUUUAUUGUUAAUUUUAAUACCAAAAAAUUAGAAAAAAAAAGAUCAGUAAAAACAUUGGAUUACAUAUAAGUUAACUCAUUAAAAAAUUCACUAAUUUGACAUUUGGUUAUAGUGGAAACUAGAGGGAAUAGUGGUAGUUCUACAGUUUUAUUGGCAAAAAAAUUAAAAAAAUGAAUAAGAUGGAAAAAGAAUGAAAAAAUAAUUUUAAAAGUAAUUUUAAGUAUAAGCAUACCAAACAAGGAAAUUUCAUUAAAGCAUUUAAGGUAGUAUUAUCAUUUUAAACGACAAAAGAGAUAUAUGUAAUUUUCAAAAGCUCAAAGAAGCUAAAUGAAAUUGUUAAAAACCUCAAGGGAGGUUUUUGAAAUUAUCCCUAAUUGGUCCUAACAAGUAACAACUACAGAUGCGGUGCAUCACCAGAGGCUCUCAGCAAUUGUUAAUUGUGAUUUUAUAAAUUUAAAAAUAGGAUUCAAUAUGACAAUAGGGUGGAUAUCCAUGGGCCAUGGCCAAUAAGGUCGGGGGAGACCUUUCUCCUGCCGCUUUGAAUGGGUUGGAAGGACGGGAAAAAUACCCCUAUCAUGCUCCCCGCUAGUAAUUUAAUAUUAUAUAUUUAGAUAUGCAGAACGUAAAAAUAUACAAUACAAUAAAACUAUAUGUAUGUAAUAUUAAAAUCAAUAAUAUGAUUUUUUUGGUAAUAAAUUAAUGCAAUAUUUCUAGUUAAUUUAUUGUCAUUAACCAAUAAUUUUGUUACGUUAGUUUAUUUUUUCUAUUUUGAUGUUGUUUAUAGAUAUAUAAAAAAAAGUACGAUAAUCGAUUGAUUUUAUAUAAAAUCAGAUAUAGAGAAAUAAAUUCAAAAGAUCAAAAUAAUUUUUAAACCUUAUUUCAUGUUGAAUUUUCGAGCAAAAAAUGUAAAACAAUUAUUAGCAAGUUCAUUAUUAGUGUAUUACAUAUAUAAAAAAUUAAAAUCAAGCAAAAAAAAAUAAAAAUGCUGGAGGUGCGAGAUAGGGACACCCCAGAGCUAGCAGGGCGCAAGGGGGAGAGAUAGUGGGCAUGGGGAGGGGGCUAGGGAGUUUUUGGAGACCGGAUCAGUUGAGGGUGCUCCUCCCAUUUCAAAUUUGCUCCGCUGCCAUCUUUAAAUAGGAAUGUAAUAACACGAAGGACACUAUAACUUUGGAAAGUUAUAAAUAGAUAUAAAACUCUCACAAUGUUACUUUGCAUCGCACUUUAUCCCCUGAACUUUUAAUAUUGGUUAGAGUACUUUUGUUCUAAAACAUCAAGUAAGGGGACAAAAUGCCUAUUUAAUGAGUUCAAAUGCAUAAAGUGCAACUGCAGAUAAAAUUGAGGAGAGUUAAGUGCAUUUAACCCUAAAUAAAUAUAAUUAAAUAUAAAAACGAGAAAGAAACUACUUUAUAUUGACUUUGAUGAUUAGCUUGAUUACUGAUAAUAAAAUUUCACAAUUCAACACUGCUAAGCAAUUUAUUGAUAGUAAAUUUAAAUUUAUCAAGUAAAAAUCCUGGAAACAUGGUAGUUUUGAUUUUUGUUCGAUUCACUAGUGAAAGGCAUCACAUCUGCUUUGCAUGUAAACGGAUAAGAUAUACGUGGCAUGCGUUUGCAAGCUAAGUAGAAAGUAGAAACUAGAAAGAUAAAGGUUGGAUUUCCAUCUUCAAUCAACUGGCUAAAGUUAGCAGAGAAAACGAAAGAAAUGAAAAAAGCAGAGCUGGUUUUCGUUCCUCUUCCAGGGAUUGGCCACUUCGUAUCAUGUGUUGAACUAGCAAAGCUUCUCGUUGAGUGUGAUGAACGAUUAUCGAUCACCGUCCUGAUGAUGAAGCUGCCCUUUGAUCCAAAAGUCAGUAGCUACACAAAUUCGUUGGUAGAAACUCCGAAUUUGCACAUAAGGUACCUUGAGCUCAUGAAAGAAGAGCCUUCUUCUCAAUUGUCAUCUUUUCUUUCGAUUCUGUUUCGAUUUAUCGACAACCAUAAAAGUUGUGUGAGGGAGGUUCUUGCU
rnacentral:lncRNA from 1 species